rnacentral:rRNA from 1 species
GUAUUAAAAUAAUUAAGUUGGAUAUUAAAAACAAUUGUUCUAAAUCCAAAAAAUUUGGCGGUAUUUUAAUAAAUCAGGGGAACUUGCAUAUUAAAUCGAUAGCCCACGAAAAUCUUACUUUUAUUUGAAACUCAGUUAGUGUACUGCCGUAUUUAUAUAAAUUUAUAAUUAUAUAUAAUAAAGAUUAUUUUACAUCUUUUAUUACAGGUCAAAGUGCAGCUUAUAUAAAAGGGCUUUGUGAGUUACAUUAUUAAAAUAUAUGGACUAUGUUAAUAUAUCACAUAUGAAAGUGGACUUGACAGUAAUCAUUAAAUGUGGUGAAUUAACUCUUAAAAUGUG